rnacentral:rRNA from 1 species
UACAGAGGGUGCAAGCGUUGUUCGGAAUCACUGGGCGUACAGCGCGCGCAGGCGGUUGCGUAUGUGAGCGGUGACAUCCGCGGGCUCAACCCGCGGCGGCCCGCUUACACAGCGCGACUGGAGGCAGGGAGAGGGAUGUGGAAUACCCGGUGGAGCGGUGAAAUGCGUAGAGAUCGGGUGGAACACCAGCGGCGAAGGCGGCAUCCUGGCCCUGUACUGACGCUGAGGCGCGAUAGCGUGGGGAGCAAACGGG